AUUGAACGCUGGCGGAAUGCCUUACACAUGCAAGUCGAACGGCAGCACGGGUGCUUGCACCUGGUGGCGAGUGGCGAACGGGUGAGUAAUACAUCGGAACGUACCCAGUCGUGGGGGAUAACGUAGCGAAAGUUACGCUAAUACCGCAUACGUCCUGAGGGAGAAAGCGGGGGACCGUAAGGCCUCGCGCGAUUGGAGCGGCCGAUGGCGGAUCAGCUAGUUGGUGGGGUAAAGGCCUACCAAGGCGACGAUCCGUAGCGGGUCUGAGGGGACGGCCCGCCACACUGGAACUGAGUCACGGUCCAGACUCCUACGGGAGGCAGCAGUGGGGAAUUUUGGACAAUGGGCGAAAGCCUGAUCCAGCCAUUCCGCGUGAGUGAAGAAGGCCUUCGGGUUGUAAAGCUCUUUCGGCAGGGAAGAAACGGCUUGGGAUAAUACCCCGGGCUAAUGACGGUACCUGAAGAAGAAGCACCGGCUAACUACGUGCCAGCCGCCGCAGUAA
rnacentral:rRNA from 1 species